GGUAUCGGUAUUGGCAACCUUGUGCCUACCUUGUACCAGAUCUAUACUAACAUGUACAAAAUCACCAUGUAUAGGGGGGCGUGGCUUGCGGGCCUGCCGCGGAACGGGGUGUGCCAGGACCGACCUCGAAGACAGCAACAGGUGAGUAGAUGGCCCAGGUGGGCCUUGUUAUCUAAUCACCUUUCGCCUUUAUUAGCAGCAGCCGGGAUGAGACGAGUAGUUGGAGUUCGAGGUGCUGCUGAGCGGACGCAGGAGAGGAAGACAGUUUGCUGGAAAGCAAAAGACUUGCACUAUUUGAUGAAAAUAAAACAGUGUUAUACCCUGAA